AGAAAAUCAUCUAACAUGUUCUGAGAGACUAAUGGAUUUUGCCUGCAUGGGUUGCAAUAUAUACAUGCAAUCAGGAACAGAAAGUAAGAGGCUAAAUCCUAGAGACUAUGUGAUAGAACAAGGGUGCCCAAAAGGUAGAUCCCCAGAUGUUGUAGAACUACAACUCACAUGACGUGUUGCAUGCCUUUUGAAUGACAAAACAUCAUGGAAGCUAUAGUUUCAAAACAUCUGGGGAUCUACCUUUCGGGCACCCCUGUACUAGGGACUGUCCCUUUUUCCCACCUUUGAUCAAUUCUGGUAUCAGAGCUUUCUAGUAUUAGUAAUUAAUCUGGACUGUGAAUCUCUGUUUAAAGAACAAAUCUAUGAAGUGGAGAAAAAUC